rnacentral:snoRNA from 1 species
UUCCCAAGUGUUGCGUUCAGUUCAGGGCAGCCUCCCUGGUCUGUUAAUUAAACUUCGGGACACUGAAAUGGGCUGCGGUGACAACUGGGUAAAAAAGUAUUCUGAGUUCAUCUCCGAGCCUACAGAA